rnacentral:lncRNA from 1 species
AUCCUGCCCAACAUCAGCGAUUGCCCAGUUUGUGAAGCAACAACGUUGGCAAAUGUUGAAGCUCUUGGAAGGUCUUCGAAAGACAGCAAAUAUUAACGCUGAUUGCCCCGGCGACUUGCUUUGAAGAGGGAGGCAGUACGCAGCUCUCGGAACGCUAUCCCUGAUUGGCUGAGAUAGAAUUUCGACAAUUAUUUCCUUAAUUCAAAUUAGUUAUUAUAAUAGUUUAUCUGCUAGGCAUAUUUCAAUUUUACCGAAUUGCAAAAAAAUUAAUGAGAUUAUAUACCCCUCAUUGUCCUAUUAGCACCAUAGCUAUCACUACCUCAUCCCUUUUUCAUCACUCCUCGAUAACUAUCCCGUCACUACUUCACUACACUAUCACUAUGAGAUGGUCGCGAUGGCCAGGGCCGGUGAAUAAUAGUAUAAUGGUCGAGGUGGUCGAGGUAGUCGAGAAGGUCAAGGUGGUCGAGAUGGUCGAGGUGGUCGAGAAGGUCGAGGUGGUCGAGAAGGUCGAGAUGGUCGAGAAGGUCGAGGUGGUCGAGAAGGUCGAGAAGGUCGAGAUGGUCGAGAAGGUCGAGGUGGUCGAGGUGGUCGAGAUGGUCGAGGUGGUCGAGAAGGUCGAGGUGGUCGAGGUGGUCGAGGUGGUCGAGAAGGUCGAGAAGGUCGAGAUGGUCGAGAAGGUNNNNNNNNNNNNNNNNNNNNAUAAUCACAGGAUAUUAUUGAAAGAUUUCCCUACCAAUUCACUGCCUUAAAAGCAUUAUAUUAUUUGCUCUGUGUGUGUGUGUUACUUUAAGUGUACUCUGGUUCCAGAGGCUCUUUGCGAGGCGAAAGAAACAAGAUGC